GCACGUGCGCCAUGGCCAGGUUAAGGCUAUAGUUAUGUUAUAGUAUCGUUCUCGCAAACGAAAUAUCUGAAAAUUAAAAUGUAUAUUCUCAUAAGUAGACUGCGGAUUUUUAAUCAAAUUCAUAUUUUUAUAAACAUAAAUUAAAAAGUGAUCUAAAAGUAACCUAAUCUAAACAAAGAUUUAUUUCACUUAUUAAAUAUUAUAACGCGUACUGUAGUUUGGAUGUUUCAUAUAUUUUUGCAUUUCAUGUGAAUUCUAUAUAUGUUUACAUCUUCAAAUUUCAAUUUACAUUAAUGAAUUCCAUCAAAUGUACACAGCGAUUAUGAAAAUGAAAAAAUUCGAAGAAAAAAAGAAAUGAAAAUCUGGAAGAAUUUCUCGAAUAUUUUUUUCGUUACUAUCUUUUUCCUAUUCAGAUCUUACAAAUUUACGAAGUUCAAGGAAAUUAAAGUGUUUCAUAAUAA
rnacentral:lncRNA from 1 species